UACAUGUGGGGCAAGCGUUGUUCGGAAUUACUGGGCAUAAAGGGUGCGUAGGGGGGCAGUUAAGUCAGUGGUGAAAUCUCCGGGCUCAACCCGGAAACUGCCAUUGAUACUAUCUGUCUUGAAUAUCGUGGAGGUAAGCGGAAUAUGUCAUGUAGCGGUGAAAUGCUUAGAUAUGACAUAGAACACCAAUUGCGAAGGCAGCUUACUACCCGAAUAUUGACACUGAGGCACGAAAGCGUGGGGAUCAAACAGG
rnacentral:rRNA from 1 species